rnacentral:lncRNA from 1 species
UGGAUGACACUAACGCCUGCUCACAAGAACUGUGAACAUGGCAUAAAGCUUUUGGAGGUUGUACCAUACUGGUGCUGAAAUUUCUUCACGAGUUCUUCAGCUUCUCUGACAACACAAAUCCAAUUUAUGGAACAGGUAUAGCCAAACAUUUCAUUUACACUGGGCAUGGAAAACAGGUUAUGCAGGUUGCUCUGUGCUGAACCAAAACUUCUGAAGUUUUCCUCAGCAUUUCCAACUUCAGCAUGAAUCAGCAUAAAUUAAUAUGUGAAAAACUCUAAAACUACUCCAUUAUGUUGUUCCAUCUCCAGGUUCACCAGCACUUGCAACAGUGACUUAAUGCAGAUUCUGAAACAUACAUUUUGGACUACUACACCAUGCUUAGGUACCUGCUCUUACCUGCUGCUACAGAGCUAUUACAUGCCUCUCUUUCAUGUACUAAUUAUUUGUAACGGUGAUUCUGAUCAGUCAUUUCCUGUUCGCAUUUUAAUUUAUCCUGAUGGUACACAUAUCGCGAAAUGUUAACAUUUCAUACAAUGUCUCCAGUGUGGUAGGAAACGAAGCAAGCAAAAGUAGUGCUGCUUUUGACUUGAUGAAAAGUUUUUAAGUUAAAUAUAAGUUAUUCAAACAUUAAAGACAAGCUAUGCAAAUGAUUCAGAAUCUGCAUGCACAAUACCACAAAGCCUUCAUUUUAAAUAAUUACUAUAAAGAAACAGAGAACAACUUCACAUUAGGUCCACUGAAAUAGAGUAUUCACUUUAUUUUACAACUUCAAUGUCAUAACAAGAUGACUCGGGCCAUGCCAUCCGGGAAGAAUGCUUGCACAAAUCAUUGCACAUUGCUGCUGCACACGACCUUUCUUACA